rnacentral:rRNA from 1 species
AGUGAACGCUGGCGGUAGGCCUAACACAUGCAAGUCGAACGGCAGCACAGUAAGAGCUUGCUCUUACGGGUGGCGAGUGGCGGACGGGUGAGGAGUACAUCGGAAUCUACUUUUUCGUGGGGGAUAACGUAGGGAAACUUACGCUAAUACCGCAUACGACCUACGGGUGAAAGCAGGGGAUCUUCGGACCUUGCGCGAUUGAAUGAGCCCAUGUCGGAUUAGCCAGUUGGCGGGGUAAAGGCCCACCAAGGCGACGAUCCGUACCUGGUCUGAGAGGAUGAUCAGCCACACUGGAACGGAGACACGGUCCAGACUCCUACGGGAGGCAGCAGUGGGGAAUAUUGGACAAUGGGCGCAAGCCUGAUCCAGCCAUACCGCGUGGGUGAAGAAGGCCUUCGGGUUGUAAAGCCCUUUUGUUGGGAAAGAAAAGCAGCAGGUUAAUACCCCGCUGUUCUGACGGUACCCAAAGAAUAAGCACCGGCUAACUUCGUG